GCACCGGUGGUGUACGGUACACCCAAUCUUUCAUUAAUUGAUGGAAUGGGGUAAAUGAUUGAGUCCGGGGUUCGACUCCCCGCCGGUGCA